rnacentral:rRNA from 1 species
CACUCCUGCGGGAGGCAGCAGUGGGGAAUAUUGCACAAUGGGCGCAAGCCUGAUGCAGCCAUGCCGCGUGUAUGAAGAAGGCCUUCGGGUUGUAAAGUACUUUCAGCGGGGAGGAAGGCGAUAAGGUUAAUAACCUUGUUGAUUGACGUUACCCGCAGAAGAAGCACCGGCUAACUCCGUGCCAGCAGCCGCGGUAAUACGGAGGGUGCAAGCGUUAAUCGGAAUUACUGGGCGUAAAGCGCACGCAGGCGGUCUGUCAAGUCGGAUGUGAAAUCCCCGGGCUCAACCUGGGAACUGCAUUCGAAACUGGCAGGCUAGAGUCUUGUAGAGGGGGGUAGAAUUCCAGGUGUAGCGGUGAAAUGCGUAGAGAUCUGGAGGAAUACCGGUGGCGAAGGCGGCCCCCUGGACAAAGACUGACGCUCAGGUGCGAAAGCGUGGGGAGCAAACAGGAUUAGAUACCCCGGUAGUCC